AGUAUAAUAUUUUAAUAAAAAAGUUAAGUUUGCAACUUAAAAUUGAAGAAUUUCUUAUACUG
rnacentral:tRNA from 1 species